GCCUGGCUGGCUCAGUCGGUAGAGCAUGCAACUCUUGAUCUCGGGGUUUUGAGUUCAAGCCUCAAGCCGGGUG
rnacentral:tRNA from 1 species